ACACUCAAAUGUUUUGUUUUUCAGAAUUUUUCAAUUUCUUGAGAGGAUAAAAUUAUGGAGAAUAAAAUGUUUUAUUUUGCAAGCAAAUGGGAGAUGUUAUUGAUGAUACUAGGCACCAUCGCUGCUGUUGCAAAAGGACUCACUCGCCAGUUGAUGAUAUUGAUUUAUGGCGAUUUGUUAGACGCUUUAAGCACCACGGAUCAAGAAAACAUGGUUAAAGAAGUUUUAAAGGUUGGGACAUUCAUACAACUCAUAUCAACUUUCUUUGGAGGAUUCGCGUUUGUCUUUAUUAAGAGGUCUGCAAUUAGCGUUUGUUCUUCUCAGUUGCAUCAACUUCCCGGUUGAUGUUCAAGUAAUUGCAAGUAGGAUUGGUUCUUCGAGGUUUUCCAAGCUCCUAUAGUAGAAAAAAGAUCUAGCUAAACAGGAAGAAAUAAAAACACAACUUUCGUUACAACUAUCAUUCGAGUGAGCACAAAGAGUAGCAUAAGCUCUCCUUUGACAUCUUCACCAACCUCUCAUCGUUCCCUUCUCUGUAAUAACGUCGUUUUGCAAAACUGCAAUGGUCCUGAGCCGAUAAGCCUCUAAUGAAAUUAUAGACUCAUCGGCUCAGGACCAUUGCGGUUGUGCAAAACGGUGUUAUUGCCGAGAAGGGAACGCAUGAGAGGUUGGUGAAAACGUCAAAGGGCUCUUAUGCUACUCUUUUUUUUUCUCAUAUGAGUGAGUGAUAACCAUAGUUGAAAACCGAUGAUGUGGUGUUUCCAAAAAUGUUGUAAUUUCAAAACUGUGUUUAAAAAGUCUCUGUCGCUUCUCAAUA